rnacentral:rRNA from 1 species
AGUGAACGCUGGCGGUAGGCCUAACACAUGCAAGUCGAACGGCAGCACAGUAAGAGCUUGCUCUUACGGGUGGCGAGUGGCGGACGGGUGAGGAAUACAUCGGAAUCUACUUUUUCGUGGGGGAUAACGUAGGGAAACUUACGCUAAUACCGCAUACGACCUACGGGUGAAAGCAGGGGAUCUUCGGACCUUGCGCGAUUGAAUGAGCCGAUGUCGGAUUAGCUAGUUGGCGGGGUAUAGGCCCACCAAGGCGACGAUCCGUAGCUGGUCUGAGAGGAUGAUCAGCCACACUGGAACUGAGACACGGUCCAGACUCCUACGGGAGGCAGCAGUGGGGAAUAUUGGACAAAGGGCGCAAGCCUGAUCCAGCCAUACCGCGUGGGUGAAGAAGGCCUUCGGGUUGUAAAGCCCUUUUGUUGGGAAAGAAAAGCAGCAGGUUAAUACCCCGCUGUUCCGACGGUACCCAAAGAAUAAGCACCGGCUAACUUCGUG